rnacentral:rRNA from 1 species
AUACGGAGGGUGCAAGCGUUAAUCGGAAUUACUGGGCGUAAAGCGUACGUAGGCGGUUUGUUAAGUUAGAUGUGAAAGCCCCGGGCUUAACCUGGGAACUGCAUUUAAAACUGGCGAACUAGAGUUGAGUAGAGGGGAGUGGAAUUUCAGGUGUAGCGGUGAAAUGCGUAGAGAUCUGAAGGAACACCAGUGGCGAAGGCGGCUCCCUGGACUCAAACUGACGCUGAGGUACGAAAGCGUGGGUAGCAAACGGGAUUAGAAACCCUAGUAGUCC